UGUGAACUCGAAGAGUAGGGCGGGACACGUGGUAUCCUGUCUGAAUAUGGGGGGACCAUCCUCCAAGGCUAAAUACUCCUGACUGACCGAUAGUGAACCAGUACCGUGAGGGAAAGGCGAAAAGAACCCCGGCGAGGGGAGUGAAAAAGAACCUGAAACCGUGUACGUACAAGCAGUGGGAGCACCUUCGUGGUGUGACUGCGUACCUUUUGUAUAAUGGGUCAGCGACUUAUAUUCUGUAGCAAGGUUAACCGUAUAGGGGAGCCGAAGGGAAACCGAGUCUUAACUGGGCGUUAAGUUGCAGGGUAUAGACCCGAAACCCGGUGAUCUAGCCAUGGGCAGGUUGAAGGUUGGGUAACACUAACUGGAGGACCGAACCGACUAAUGUUGAAAAAUUAGCGGAUGACCUGUGGCUGGGGGUGAAAGGCCAAUCAAACCGGGAGAUAGCUGGUUCUCCCCGAAAGCUAUUUAGGUAGCGCCUCGUGAACUCAUCUUCGGGGGUAGAGCACUGUUUCGGCUAGGGGGCCAUCCCGGCUUACCAACCCGAUGCAAACUACGAAUACCGAAGAAUGUUAUCACGGGAGACACACGGCGGGUGCUAACGUCCGUCGUGAAGAGGGAAACAACCCAGACCGCCAGCUAAGGUCCCAAAGUCAUGGUUAAGUGGGAAACGAUGUGGGAAGGCACAGACAGCCAGGAUGUUGGCUUAGAAGCAGCCAUCAUUUAAAGAAAGCGUAAUAGCUCACUGGUCGAGUCGGCCUGCGCGGAAGAUGUAACGGGGCUAAACCAUGCACCGAAGCUGCGGCAGCGACACUAUGUGUUGUUGGGUAGGGGAGCGUUCUGUAAGCCGUUGAAGGUGUGCUGUGAGGCAUGCUGGAGGUAUCAGAAGUGCGAAUGCUGACAUAAGUAACGAUAAAGCGGGUGAAAAGCCCGCUCGCCGGAAGACCAAGGGUUCCUGUCCAACGUUAAUCGGGGCAGGGUGAGUCGACCCCUAAGGCGAGGCCGAAAGGCGUAGUCGAUGGGAAACAGGUUAAUAUUCCUGUACUUGGUGUUACUGCGAAGGGGGGACGGAGAAGGCUAUGUCAGCCGGGCGACGGUUGUCCCGGUUUAAGCAUGUAGGCGGAGGUUCCAGGUAAAUCCGGUACCUUUUAACGCUGAGGUGUGAUGACGAGGCACUACGGUGCUGAAGUGAUAAAUGCCCUGCUUCCAGGAAAAGCCUCUAAGCAUCAGGUAACACGAAAUCGUACCCCAAACCGACACAGGUGGUCAGGUAGAGAAUACCAAGGCGCUUGAGAGAACUCGGGUGAAGGAACUAGGCAAAAUGGUGCCGUAACUUCGGGAGAAGGCACGCUGAUA
rnacentral:rRNA from 1 species